rnacentral:rRNA from 1 species
UUGACGGGGAGCACCACAACGGGUGGAGCUUGCGGUUUAAUUGGAUUCAACGCCGGAAAUCUUACCGGGACCGACAGCAAUAUGAAGGCCAGGCUGAAGACUUUGCCGGAUUAGCUGAGAGGUGGUGCAUGGCCGUCGUCAGUUCGUACUGUGAAGCAUCCUGUUAAGUCAGGCAACGAGCGAGACCCACGCCAACAGUUGCCAGCAUGUCCUCCGGGAUGGUGGGGACACUGUUGGGACCGCCUCUGCUAAAGAGGAGGAAGGAAUGGGCAACGGUAGGUCAGCAUGCCCCGAAUUAUCCGGGCUACACGCGGGCUACAAUGGUCAGGACAAUGGGCAUCAACACCGAAAGGUGAAGGCAAUCUCUUAAACCUGUCCUUAGUUCGGAUUGUGGGCUGCAACUCGCCCACAUGAAGCUGGAAUCUGUAGUAAUCGUGUCUCAAAAUGGCACGGUGAAUAUGUCCCUGCUCCUU